rnacentral:rRNA from 1 species
AAACAUGAGAGUUUGAUCCUGGCUCAGGAUGAACGCUGGCGGCGCGCCUAACACAUGCAAGUCGAACGGACGAUGAAGAGCUUGCUUUUCAAAGUUAGUGGCGGACGGGUGAGUAACGCGUGGGUAACCUGCCUCAUACAGGGGAAUAGCAGCUGGAAACGGCUGAUAAAACCGCAUAAGCGCACAGUGCCGCAUGGCACAGUGUGAAAAACUCCGGUGGUAUGAGAUGGACCCGCGUCUGAUUAGCUUGUUGGCGGGGUAACGGCCCACCAAGGCGACGAUCAGUAGCCGGCCUGAGAGGGUGAUCGGCCACAUUGGGACUGAGACACGGCCCAAACUCCUACGGGAGGCAGCAGUGGGGAAUAUUGCACAAUGGGGGAAACCCUGAUGCAGCGACGCCGCGUGAGCGAUGAAGUAUUUCGGUAUGUAAAGCUCUAUCAGCAGGGAAGAUAAUGACGGUACCUGACUAAGAAGCCCCGGCUAACUACGUGCCAGCAGCCGCGGUAAUACGUAGGGUGCAAGCGUUAUCCGGAAUUAUUGGGCGUAAAGGGCUCGUAGGCGGUUCGUCGCGUCCGGUGUGAAAGUCCAUCGCUUAACGGUGGAUCCGCGCCGGGUACGGGCGGGCUUGAGUGCGGUAGGGGAGACUGGAAUUCCCGGUGUAACGGUGGAAUGUGUAGAUAUCGGGAAGAACACCAAUGGCGAAGGCAGGUCUCUGGGCCGUUACUGACGCUGAGGAGCGAAAGCGUGGGGAGCGAACAGGAUUAGAUACCCUGGUAGUCCACGCCGUAAACGGUGGAUGCUGGAUGUGGGGACCAUUCCACGGUCUCCGUGUCGGAGCCAACGCGUUAAGCAUCCCGCCUGGGGAGUACGGCCGCAAGGCUAAAACUCAAAGAAAUUGACGGGGGCCCGCACAAGCGGCGGAGCAUGCGGAUUAAUUCGAUGCAACGCGAAGAACCUUACCUGGGCUUGACAUGUUCCCGACCGCGGCAGAGAUGUCGUUUCCCUUCGGGGCGGGUUCACAGGUGGUGCAUGGUCGUCGUCAGCUCGUGUCGUGAGAUGUUGGGUUAAGUCCCGCAACGAGCGCAACCCCCGCCGCGUGUUGCCAUCGGGUGAUGCCGGGAACCCACGCGGGACCGCCGCCGUCAAGGCGGAGGAGGGCGGGGACGACGUCAAGUCAUCAUGCCCCUUAUGCCCUGGGCUGCACACGUGCUACAAUGGCCGGUACAGAGGGAUGCCACCCCGCGAGGGGGAGCGGAUCCCGGAAAGCCGGCCCCAGUUCGGAUUGGGGGCUGCAACCCGCCCCCAUGAAGUCGGAGUUGCUAGUAAUCGCGGAUCAGCAUGCCGCGGUGAAUGCGUUCCCGGGCCUUGUACACACCGCCCGUCACACCACCCGAGUCGUCUGCACCCGAAGUCGCCGGCCCAACCGCAAGGGGGGAGGCGCCGAAGGUGUGGAGGGUGAGGGGGGUGAAGUCGUAACAAGGUAGCCGUACCGGAAGGUGCGGCUGGAUCACCUCCUUU